UACAGAGGUCCCAAGCGUUGUUCGGAUUCAUUGGGCGUAAAGGGUGCGUAGGCGGCGCGUUAAGUCGGGUGUGAAAUCUCGGGGCUUAACUCCGAAACUGCAUUCGAUACUGCCGUGCUUGAGGACUGGAGAGGAGACUGGAAUUUACGGUGUAGCGGUGAAAUGCGUAGAUAUCGUAAGGAAGACCAGUGGCGAAGGCGGGUCUCUGGACAGUUCCUGACGCUGAGGCACGAAGGCCAGGGGAGCAAACGGG
rnacentral:rRNA from 1 species